rnacentral:rRNA from 1 species
ACGGAGGGUGCGAGCGUUAAUCGGAUUUACUGGGCGUAAAGGGUGCGUAGGCGGUUAUAUAAGUGGGAUGUGAAAGCCCUGGGCUCAACCUAGGAAGUGCAUACCAUACUGUAUAGCUGGAGUAUAAGAGAGGGUGGUGGAAUUUCCGGUGUAGCGGUGAAAUGCGUAGAGAUCGGAAGGAACGUCAAUGGCGAAGGCAGCCACCUGGCUUAAUACUGACGCUGAGGCACGAAAGCGUGGGGAGCGAACAGGAUUAGAUACCCUGGUAGUCCACGCUGUAAACGAUGAGGACUCGAUGUUGGUAGGGGAACCUAUCAGUAUCAAAGCUAACGCGAUAAGUCUUCCGCCUGGGAAGUACGGCCGCAAGGUUG